GAUGAACGCUGGCGGCGUGCCUAAUGCAUGCAAGUCGAGCGAAUGGAUUAAGAGCUUGCUCUUAUGAAGUUAGCGGCGGACGGGUGAGUAACACGUGGGUAACCUGCCCAUAAGACUGGGAUAACUCCGGGAAACCGGGGCUAAUACCGGAUAACAUUUUGAACCGCAUGGUUCGAAAUUGAAAGGCGGCUUCGGCUGUCACUUAUGGAUGGACCCGGGUCGCAUUAGCUAGUUGGUGAGGUAACGGCUCACCAAGGCAACGAUGCGUAGCCGACCUGAGAGGGUGAUCGGCCACACUGGGACUGAGACACGGCCCAGACUCCUACGGGAGGCAGCAGUAGGGAAUCUUCCGCAAUGGACGAAAGUCUGACGGAGCAACGCCGCGUGAGUGAUGAAGGCUUUCGGGUCGUAAAACUCUGUUGUUAGGGAAGAACAAGUGCUAGUUGAAUAAGCUGGCACCUUGACGGUACCUAACCAGAGAGCCACGGCUAACUACGUGCCAGCAGCCGCGGUAA
rnacentral:rRNA from 1 species